AGUGAACGCUGGCGGUAGGCCUAACACAUGCAAGUCGAACGGCAGCACAGUAAGAGCUUGCUCUUACGGGUGGCGAGUGGCGGACGGGUGAGGAAUACAUCGGAAUCUACUUUUUCGUGGGGGAUAACGUAGGGAAACUUACGCUAAUACCGCAUACGACCUACGGGUGGAAGCAGGGGAUCUUCGGACCUUGCGCGAUUGAAUGAGCCGAUGUCGGAUUAGCUAGUUGGCGGGGUAAAGGCCCACCAAGGCGACGAUCCGUAGCUGGUCUGAGAGGAUGAUCAGCCACACUGGGACUGAGACACGGUCCAGACUCCUACGGGAGGCAGCAGUGGGGAAUAUUGGACAAUGGGCGCAAGCCUGAUCCAGCCAUACCGCGUGGGUGAAGAAGGCCUUCGGGUUGUAAAGCCCUUUUGUUGGGAAAGAAAAGCAGCAGGUUAAUACCCCGCUGUUCUGACGGUACCCAAAGAAUAAGCACCGGCUAACUUCGUG
rnacentral:rRNA from 1 species